UCUGGGGAGGGAAGGGCAGAGUCAGGAGGGCUGCCCGCAACUGCGCCCGCCUCGCCUCAACCCGCGCAGGGACUGUCUAGUGCUUUUAAGUACAUUCCUAAAAAAAAUGAUAAAUGAAACAGUGCCUAGGGGAUUCCUCCCCCACCCAGGCUUGCUCCUCAGAGGUACUUUAACCCCUUCAGCUGAUUCUUUUGGCUCUUCCUCCCUAAUUUUAAUAUAUUUACACCAGCAUUUAGAGAUCUGUCGCCUUUAGACAUUACUAACUUUCCUCCACAUUCAUUUUUCAUCAUUCAUUUUUUUUCCUUAAAUGGCUUUACAGAGAUACAAUUCACAGACCAUACAGUUCACCCACUGAAAGCGUACAGUCCCAUGGUUUUCACUAUAGUCACAGAAUUGUGUAACCUUCACCACAAUUUUAGAGCAUUUUCAUCACUUCACAAAGAAGCCCCCUUGACCCAUCAGCAGCCAGCCGCCGCCUCCUCUCAGCCCUAGGCAACUACUUAACUACUCUGUCGCUGUGGAUUUGUCUAUUUUGGAAGUUUCCUGGAGUGGAACCCGACAACCCGUGGUCCUCUGUGACGCUCCUUUCACCCAGAGUUGUUUGCUUUUGGCCAGUGAGACUAUUAGGAGAUUGAAGCUCUGCUGUGGCAGCUCAAACAAUCUUGCUUAAAGGAAACGCUUCACUGACAGAGACCGAGAUGCUCGGGUGUGGUGGGCACGGUGGACACGGGCCUGGAGUGGAGGUGCCUGGGUUCUGGCCCCUGCAGCAGGGCGGUCCCCACUGCUGAGCUCCGGAGCCUGCCCUCCUGUUCCCGAGCAGAGGGAGCAUUCACAGGUCAUGUGUCAGACCACAACUCACCGGUGGACUGGGUCACACAGGAAAUCUUGUAGGACAGCCACACGCUCGCCAGACAGAGGAAGGUGGCCAGGAACCCGAAGAUCUGCAUGGAGAGAGGGGAGAGGAGGUGCCCAGGCCAGCCACUCGGGCAGCCCUUCCCGCUGCCCCUGUCUGUGCCCGUUCCUGCACCGACCGGGGCCUCAUCUGAGCCGGUCACCUGUCCUGGCUCAGGUGCACAGGUGAGGCCCACCCCGGCCCCAGCUGGGACACAGCCAGGCCCCCUGGGGCUCUUCUCUAGAGUUUAAGUUUACUACUGAGCUGGGGCCAAGGCCCUGGACUUUAUCCUGGGCAAACAGGAAAGAAAAAGGAGGAACUGUACAUUUUAUUUUUGGGGUCUUAACAUUUUAACAUUCCCUUGGCGUGGCUGCCCUGUCUGCACUUCAUCCACAAGGGCUGCACAGCUGUAUCAGAGCCAGGAGCUGGGCCUCGGGAGCGGGUAUUAGGUUUGCACCUAGUUGGGUAAUACUGGACUGAGCGAGCUCAGGCGGCACGCCUUUCCUCUCUAGGCUGUGAGGACCGAGUCCAGCGCAGCCUCAUCCUCUGUAGGCGAGAAAGAGGGCCUCCCGGGAGGCUCAUCAAAUGAUGAGCAGCAGACAUGGACUCUGGUGUCUCACCGGGACCUCGGCAGCCUUUCCUGACGCGUCAUUAGCAGCCACAGCUGCUGCGAGGUCCUGAGGCCUGACCGUGUCCGCACCAGGCAGUGUUCUAAGCUGCCCUCCCGUUCACCCUCACAGCUCUGCCGGGUGGGCGCUGUGAGCCCCCCUCCCCUUUUACAGCAGAAGAAAUGAGGGACAGGAGGUCAGCUGCAUAGCCUGAGGCCACAGCGCCAGCGAGGGUGACUCCGGAGUCUGAGUCCACCUCCACUCCGUGCUGCCCACGUGUUGUCAGACUCGCCAGGUGCACAGCCAGGAGCCCCUCCCUGUCCGGCAGACCGGGAGCAGCCAGGACAAGGCAGGAUUUUCCAAGGUUGGUUUUCUUCUCAAGCCUGGCUGUGGGGUUUUCACAUGCAGCUCCGCCUUGGCCACUGCCUUGGCUCCUACUGCACCAAUUGUCUGCACCACGUAAUCAGCUAGUUAGAGCCCGUCCCAGCCUCUCAUUGUCUGUCCUGCACAGUCAGCACAUUGUAGGCCAUCCCGGGGUCCAGCUGUCUGCGCUGCAUGGCUGAGCAGUUUAUCACAGGGCUGCACAGCGCUGUCUGGGACGCCAGUGCCCUGGUGGUUCACUGCUUCAUGUGCCUUGGCCUCGACUCCUAAGCUAGGUCGGCACUUUAUCAUGAGCCAGGGGCUUCUCUUUCUAUUCCCUCUGGCUCCCCCAGCCCAGACUUGGUCCAGGACACAGAGAUGCUGUGUGACAAACGAGAUUUGCUGGCAUUCCAGGGCUAACACCAUUACGUGCAAUGUGAAUCAUAAAGGCCACUGGGAAUCUCCCCACGCGGUCCUGAAACCUCUCUCCACUUCCCGGAGCCGGCCUGCAGGGGGCGCAUGGUACCCUACAGGUGCCAAGCAUCCCUCCUCCCGGUGACUGCCCAGGGUGGGAUGGGACGGGGGCUGGGGGGAGGCCGUUAAGGGGCAUGAGUGGCCAGAGGUUAGGCUGCCCCUCCACACUGCCCCCCUCCAUGCACUAACCCACUCUCAGCCCAAAGUCAAGAGAAUUUUGGUACCAUGUGGUCAGGAGUGACUCACAAAGAGACCAUUUCUUAAAACUCAUUUUUAAAAUUUUGCCUGCUCAUCAGUGAGGCAAAUCAGUUCUGGCCCACAGGCUACCAAACUGCAAACACAAUUAGCUAAAUCAGAAAUCGCAUGACAGGAACCUACAAAUCUAAAAAAUAACGUACAGAUGCUUCUGUGUAUCUGCGAGCGCUUGCGCGGUAAGCAGAGGGCGCCCCCACAGCACUGUGUUUUCGUGCACUUUCAUGCUGCUUCUCUCCGGGCUAGCAGAUGAAUCAGUUUUCACCUCCAAGAGGUACAGAAGUGUCAUUUCCUGGCCUCGAUACAGUUAAAAGUCAGCAAGGGCACAGUUGGGACUCACGGCAGGUACCACAAGCUGAGGACAGCGCUGCUCCCAUGGGCCCAGAAGCGGCCUCAGAACCUUUCUCUGCGCAGGGCUGAGGCAGCCAUUCAAACCUACCUGCCCCUCGAUUUUAGCAGUGGCCGUGAGAGAGGCCUGGACCGCGGGGCCAUUUUAGUUUACCAACAGCCCUGCUGACCCACCUGCUGACACCCUCGGUUCAAGGCUCUUUGGAAACUGCUGCUGGUCGAUCAAGGUGGGUACUGAUUCUGAGAAAGACAGACCCUGGAGAACAAGCCCUUUGCUGCCCCAUGAGGAGAAAAUGAGCACUGGGAACAAGAAUUCGCUCCUGAAGCCUCCCCGGGAGUGUCCUCACCGCUCCAGCCACCAGUCCGCUAUGGCUGUAACUUCUGGAGGCCGCCACGAUGGACGCGAUGAGGAGGAGCAGGGUACCAAUUAAAUAGUGCAGGAGUUCCUGGGGGCAAAACAAAGCAGAGCAGUGGGUAGGAAGCUCCACUCCUGGCUCCCAGGGGCAGCCAGGCAUCAGGAGAGAUGAACGGAGGGGAGGGGCAUUUCCUCUUCUCCCUGGAGCACCCAAUGAGCGGCGAAGCUCAGACAAGGGAGGAGGGCUGGCCCGGGUGAGGCCAAGCGAGAGAGGAGAGGGAAAGGCAGGAAGAGAGGCGACAGAGACAAAGGAUGCUUCUCGAGGGAGGAGAGACCCACUAAGCACUGCCCGACUCCUGAGGUCAGCCUGCCGGUGGCACCUUGACCUCCGGCCAGAGCUACUAAAAACCAAACAAGCUGCUCACAACGCCCAGGCUGCAGAGUUUAAAGGGGGCUCCAGCUCUGAGAAGCAAAGCCCCUUAUGGAGAUGUGUGCCUUCACUCCUGCUUCCCAGAAAGUUCUGGGUUAGCAAUGUCCUGGCUUCAGUGGCUGCCUGGAGGGUCUGCUUGUUCUGUGAGCCAGAGUUCUCGUUCCUCCCUCUGUCUCUUCUCUCCUAGGGCCACUGUGCCCUCAGGCCAAACUGCAGAGGCCUCUGCAGGAAGGGCCCGCUCGGCCUUUGCCUCCCUGUGGUCCACCGGGCGUCCCCUUCCGCCCAUUCUCACUCCACCAUAAACUGGGAUCUGCUGCCAGGAUGAGCGGGGCCUGUGUCACGCAGCAGCGAGACAGGGCUUCACCGCCUCCUUCCUCCCUGUUCAACACCAGAUCGGAGGAGAGCCGGGGCUCAGGGCUUCGACCAUGCUCAUUUUCUGUUGUCUUUGAUGAGAAUUGAGAGGUUAUUCCUUCCUGAGGUUCUGCCCAUCAGGACAGGCAGCUGUGAAAUUUGGGGAAAGCAUCCAACUUCAAGCUGCAGCUCCUCCUAGAGCUGUGCAAAAUCAAAGAUCCUGGUUUCCCCCUUAGUGGCCAGAAAGGACUAGCACCAGGCAGACCAGAGAUUUUGACUGAAGAGCUGAGUAGUAACUGGACGUUCCCUGCCUCCAAGAUUAUCACCCACGAGGAAAGAGGAGUGUGCCACGGGGUGGGGAUGACUGACAGGAGAGAGUCCUGAAUGGAAGACGCCCAACAGUGCUGGGCCAGGACGUGUGUGCGCCUAGCCUGCCCCCACUCACCGCCCCCUGCCGCCCCGCUCCCCUCCCCAGCGUUUCUCCUCUGCUUGUUCAUUACCAGCAUCAGAGGGGCCCAGAGGGGCUGGUUCUCAAAAGAAGGAGAAAGGUCCCAUAACUUUGAAAGGGGCCUUGUGACUCAGGAACACCAAAGAAACUUCUCUCAAAAUAAUAUAGUGAGUAAUAACGUUAAAUGUGAAUGAUUAAAGAACCCAAUCCAAUCAAGAAGCAAAGCUGUCAGGCGAUGUAAAAGGCAAAGGUUGGGGAGAGUGGAGGGAUAAAUUGGGAGUUUAAGAUUAGCAGAUACUAACUACUAUAUAUAUAAUAAGCAAAAAGGACCUACUGUGGAGCACACAGAACUAUAUUGAGUACCUUGUAAUGGCCUAUAAUGAAAAAGAAUAUGAAAAGGAAUAUAUAUAUAUAUAUAUAUAUAUAUAUAUAUAUAUAUACACACACAACUGAAUCACUAUGCUGUACACCAGAAAUUAACAACAUUGUAAACAGACUAAACUUCAAUUAAAAAGAGAAAAAGAGGUCAGACUGUAUGCACGACACACAUUCAAAGAUUCAAAUAGAUUGAAAGUAGAGAUGGAAAAGAUAAGUCAUUCAAACAACAACCAAAAGAGAGUGGUUAAACCAGUACCAGACAAAACAGAUUUUAAAGCAAAAAGGUUACCAGGAACUUGUACGUGAAUGUUUAUGGCAGCAUGAUUCGUAAUAGUCAAAAGGUGGCAACAGCCCAAAGGUCCAUCAGUGAUGGAUGAGUGAGCACAAUGUGGGGUGUCCUUUCACUGGAAUAUUACUUAAGUGCAAAAAGAAGUGAGCUGAUACACACCUACAACACAGAUAAACCAUGGCAACACUCCACCAAGUGAAAGAAGCUAGUCACAGAAGACCGCACGUAAGAUUCCAUUCACAUGAAAUUACACGGAAUAUGCAGAGUAAGAGAAGUUAUGAAGACAAGGUAGAUCAGUAGUUGCUGGGGGCUGGAGGCGGUGAGGCGCAGGAGGUUAACAGGUACAGGGUUUCUCUUUGAGGUGACGAAAAGGUUCUACAAAUGACCGAGGUGGGGGUUGCACAACUCAGGACUAUACUAGAAUCCAUCGAAUUGGGCACUUCAGACGGGUACUUGUACGACACGUGAACUAUAUACCCAUAAAACUUUUUUUAAAUAGUAGGAAGAAAAAGCUCUGGCAGCUUCUGAAAUCUUUCCUCAGACUCCCCCAGUCUACUUAGCGGACAACCGCGUAGACCACCGCCCGCAUCUCCCUUCCACGCUCCUCCUCCAGCUCACGCACACGCAGCCCACUUUCUAACGCAGGAGACAGUAAGACCAGGGUGAGAGGCACAGAGGCUGGAAGGUGAGUUUUAGAAACCAGCGGGACGUCCGCUGCAGGGUGGGAAGCGCAGAGCUGAAGCAGCGGAGGAUGGUGAAAGGGGGGCGGGCAGGGUCGCGGGGGCCCAGCUGGCACCUGACUCCUUACCGACAGGGGCCAGCUGAUGCAGGUGAGCGCGCGGUAGAGGCGGAAGAGGUGGACCAGGUAGAAGGCGAGGAUCAUUAUCAGGUUGCAGACGGUGACCACUUCAAAGUAGCUGUAGGCACUGUAGCUGGUCCACACAGAGCUCCUCACGCAGAUGAAGGCGAUCAGCAGCGAGACCUGGGACGCAGACACAGACGUCAGGGACCCAAGCCACCAACAGGAAACUGCGGGACCACAACAACCCAGGUCACUCCUCACCAGCUGGCUCGAGGCCGUCAGAGUGCCAUUUCCCGCAGGACAAGUUUGGGAAAUGCGCCAUGGUGAAUGCAGACACGGCAGGAAUGCUGGAAAUGACAAGCAGGACCUCGCCACUUAUCUGCUGGACCUCAGAGUCCGUGUGACACUGGACCUCAGGCUUGCAGAGUAGGCUGAACUCUAGGGAGCUGCCAACAUUUGACUGUUUUUGACCCGCACAAGAUGGCGAUUCACGUGUACAGCCUACCCGCUGGCAGAGAGUGAGUUACUGUUCACUGAUGCCUGAUAUAUACCAUCUCACCGAGGCUUCCCAGCACUCGGCCGGUCGAUGGAAUCGCCCCCACAUUCCUUUGGAGAAACCGAGGCUCACAGGCUCAAUAAUUCGCCCAAGGCGACUCAGCUUGUAGGCGGCGGAGGUGGGGUUUGAACCUAUGUCUGUCUGACUCCAGGGACCGUGUUCCUCCACGUCAGGUGACAGUAACCCUCACUCACCACAGACAAGCUGAGGACGGCGGGUGUGCUACCAGCUGGUUACGAGGUGCUGCUCGCUCACCACUGGGCUGCGGCGGGAGCUUGCUGAGUGUACUGCUGCAGGAAUGAAUGGACGUGCAGACUCUGUUUCCUCAAGCCCCUCAUUGCCCGCGUUCCACCAAGGUCCUCGGUAACAGGUACAGCAGCGAGAGGACUCUGAGCUUGAAGCCUGCCGAGGUGCAGUGUUUUGCUCCACAGAUCAGAGCAGGAGUGCGGCUCUGACAGAGGGACCCUCGACAUUUGCAUGUUUCCCUUUACUAAUGAGCAACGUGAGUAUUUCCAUUUUUUCGGUUCCUCUCCAGCCGGCCACAGUAAUAUAUAUAACGAUUCACACCUUGAGGCUGUUUUCAAGCUCCAGGGGAGGCUGUGCUCCACUCAGGAGUGUGGUGCCGGUCAGAGCUCUGCUGCCUCACCAGCCCGGUUUCCAGGCCUCGUCUCCCUGGGAAGUCCAGGGGUCCCCCGGCCUGGCACUGACCCCCUCACACCCACAUGCUGGGGUUUUUAUUCAAGGCCGGCCUUAAAAUGCAAAUAACCCAGGAUUAUGCAGUGUGAUUCCUAGGCAGAGAAGUAAUUUUGCACCUCGUUUAAUGCAAAGAUGAGAAUAAUUUUUACAACUCUUCAUCUGUGACAGGGUCUGCUCUUUCUGGUGGUGACACAGACAAGUGGGAGUUUCCCCACCAACAGAAGGGGCCUGGGCAGCCCUUCCCCUCCGCGCCCCGGGGCGGAGUGCCCUGCUCGAGCCCGCCGUGAAGUAAGACUUCCGGGAUUUUGAGCACUGGGCCUGGGGCCGCCCACCAUGUGUGGCUCUUUAGAAAAGCCCCAUUUUGGACAAUCUCAUUUACACAGUGGGUGGUGUGUGUUUGCACACGCUCCUGAAAGCUUCCUUUUGCCCGAGGAGUGGUUCUUUAGCUAGCCAGCAUCUUAGCUAGAGCGCUUAGAAAAGAGAGAGUUGACUGACUCAACACUUUCCAGGAACUCUUCCAGGCGGUAACCUCCGCAGAUGCUCGAGACCCUGAAUUACCUAGAUCAAUGAUUUGGGGGCAGCCAGAAAGGAACGAGACAAUGGGAAGACAAUGAGAGACAAGGCCUGGGGUGGGGGCGCCCCCUGCCCCACCAGCCCUCUCAGGACUUCUCCCUGUUCUGGUCAGAGAAACCGAAGCAAAGAAGGCUGGAGGCUUCUGGAAGACAGAUACGGUUCUGUUUAGACUGACUUCACCAUCAGAAGGACGAACCUGUCCCUCAGGAUGUCUUCCUAGCUCCUCUCAUACAGGUUUUUCUUUUACAAUGAACUGUCUUGCUAGUUGAAAAUAAAGUAUCUAACAUAAAUGACCAGGAGUUUAAAAGUAAUGUUGCUACUAACUACUAUAUUAAAAAUAAACAACAAGGUCCUACUGUA